rnacentral:rRNA from 1 species
UUCGGGGGCCGAGUAGAGUGGCGUCCGGGUGAGUAACACGUAGGUAAUCUACCUCUGGGUGGGGAAUAACGACCGGAAACGGUCGCUAAUACCGCAUAAUGCAGCGGCACCACAUGGUGACAGUUGUUAAAGCGGGGGAUCGCAAGACCUCGCGCCUAGAGAGGAGCCUGCGGCGGAUUAGCUAGUUGGCAGGGUAACGGCCUACCAAGGCAACGAUCCGUAGCCGGCCUGAGAGGGCGGUCGGCCACACUGGCACUGACACACGGGCCAGACUCCUACGGGAGGCAGCAGUCGGGAAUUUUGGGCAAUGGGCGAAGGCCUGACCCAGCAACGCCGCGUGAAGGAUGAAGUCUUUCGGGAUGUAAACUUCGUAAGAAUAGGAAGAAUAAAUGACGGUACUAUUUGUAAGGUCCGGCUAACUACGUGCCAGCAGCCGCGGUAAUACGUAGGGACCAAGCGUUGUUCGGAUUUACUGGGCGUAAAGGGCGCGUAGGCGGCGUGUUAAGUCAGCUGUGAAAUCUCCAAGCUUAACUUGGAACGGUCAGCUGAUACUGAUGUGCUAGAGUGCAGAAGGGGCAACCGGAAUUCUUGGUGUAGCGGUGAAAUGCGUAGAUAUCAAGAGGAACACCUGAGGUGAAGACGGGUUGCUGGGCUGACACUGACGCUGAGGCGCGAAAGCUAGGGUAGCAAACGGGAUUAGAUACCCCGGUAGUCCUAGCCCUAACGAUGAAUAC